UGUUGAUGGCGACCGGCGCACGGGUGAGUAACGCGUAUCCAACCUUCCCUUUACUAUGGGACAGCCCGUCGAAAGGCGGAUUAAUACCGUACGUUGUCAUGUUGAUGCAUAUUUUCAUGACCAAAGGCUUCGGCCGGUAAAGGAUGGGGAUGCGUCUGAUUAGCUUGCCGGCGGGGUAACGGCCCACCGGGGCGACGAUCAGUAGGGGUUCUGAGAGGAAGGUCCCCCACAUUGGAACUGAGACACGGUCCAAACUCCUACGGAAGGCAGCAG
rnacentral:rRNA from 1 species